rnacentral:rRNA from 1 species
CUUAGCAGCCACAACACCUGCAGGUCAGACUAGGUACCCGACCUUAAGCAGGUUUGGGCCUGGCCAGUAUUUCAAUAGGAGACAAACUAGGAAAGCUGGGUUUCUGCUGGAA